CGUUGGCUCCAGACAAAUAAACAUGGAGUCCAUCUUCCACGAGAAACAAGAAGGCUCACUUUGUGCUCAACAUUGCCUGAAUAACUUAUUGCAAGGAGAAUAUUUUAGCCCUGUGGAAUUAUCCUCAAUUGCACAUCAGCUGGAUGAGGAGGAGAGGAUGAGAAUGGCAGAAGGAGGAGUUACUAGUGAAGAUUAUCGCACGUUUUUACAGCAGCCUUCUGGAAAUAUGGAUGACAGUGGUUUUUUCUCUAUUCAGUGGUUUAACUUGAAUUCUCUCUUGACGGGUCCAGAAUUAAUAUCAGAUACAUAUCUUGCACUUUUCUUGGCUCAAUUACAACAGGAAGGUUAUUCUAUAUUUGUUGUUAAGGGUGAUCUGCCAGAUUGCGAAGCUGACCAACUCCUGCAGAUGAUUAGGGUCCAACAGAUGCACCGACCAAAACUUAUUGGAGAAGAAUUAGCACAACUAAAAGAGCAAAGAGUCCAUAAAACAGACCUGGAACGAGUGUUAGAAGCAAAUGAUGGCUCAGGAAUGUUAGACGAAGACGAGGAGGAUUUGCAGAGGGCUCUGGCACUAAGUCGCCAAGAAAUUGACAUGGAAGAUGAGGAAGCAGAUCUCCGCAGGGCUAUUCAGCUAAGUAUGCAAGGUAGUUCCAGAAAUAUAUCUCAAGAUAUUCCACAGACAUCAGGUACAAAUCUUACUUCAGAAGAGCUUCGGAAGAGACGAGAAGCCUACUUUGAAAAGUAAAGUAGUUGACAGCAGCAAAAGCAGCAACAGCAGCCGCAAAAGCAGCAACAGCAGCCGCAACAGCAGCAGCAGCAGCAGCAGGGGGACCUAUCAGGACAGAGUUCACAUCCAUGUGAAAGGCCAACCACCAGUUCAGGAGCACUUGGGAGUGAUC
rnacentral:sRNA from 1 species